rnacentral:rRNA from 1 species
GCUUGUCUCAAAGAUUAAGCCAUGCAUGUCUAAGUGUAAAUACGUCUACACUGUGAAACUGCGAAUGGCUCAUUAAAUCAGUUAUCGUUUAUUUGAUGAUCUCUUGUUACAUGGAUAACCGUAGUAAUUCUAGAGCUAAUACGUGCGUAAAUCCCGACUUCUGGAAGGGACGUAUUUAUUAGAUAAAAGGCCAGCCGGGUUUUCCCGACCUGUGGUGAAUCAUGAUAACUUCACGAAUCGCAUGGCCUUGUGCCGGCGAUGUUUCAUUCAAAUUUCUGCCCUAUCAAGUAUCGUAUGUAGGAUAGAGGCCUACAUAGCUUAUGACGGGUGACGGAGAAUUAGGGUUCGAUUCCGGAGAGGGAGCCUGAGAAACGGCUACCACAUCCAAGGAAGGCAGCAGG